UCUGCGCUAGCGUUUGUGUGAAUGUGUCUACACAUUUGCUUACAUGCUCACCAAUAUUCCACUAUUAUUCCGAAUAUGACAAUAUUCUGAAUUUGAUACAGGUCAUGUAAACAGCAUAUUCCGGUUGGAUAUUCCGAAUAUGGCAUUUUCCAG